rnacentral:sRNA from 1 species
UCAUUGGAAUGUAAAAAGAGAAUGUGUA